rnacentral:rRNA from 1 species
GACGAACGCUGGCGGCGUGCUUAACACAUGCAAGUCGAACGGAAAGGCCCUGCUCUUGUGGGGUGCUCGAGUGGCGAACGGGUGAGUAACACGUGAGUAACCUGCCCUUGACUUUGGGAUAACUUCAGGAAACUGGGGCUAAUACCGGAUAGGAGCUCCUGCUGCAUGGUGGGGGUUGGAAAGUUUCGGCGGUUGGGGAUGGACUCGCGGCUUAUCAGCUUGUUGGUGGGGUAGUGGCUUACCAAGGCUUUGACGGGUAGCCGGCCUGAGAGGGUGACCGGCCACAUUGGGCCUAAGAUACGGCCCAGACUCCUACGGGAGGCAGCAGUGGGGAAUAUUGCACAAUGGGCGGAAGCCUGAUGCAGCAACGCCGCGUGCGGGAUGACGGCCUUCGGGUUGUAAACCGCUUUCGAAUGUGACGAAGAGUGAGUGACGGUAAUGGGUAAAGAAGCACCGGCUAACUACGUG